rnacentral:rRNA from 1 species
GAUGAACGCUAGCUACAGGCUUAACACAUGCAAGUCGAGGGGCAGCGGGGAUCUAGCUUGCUAGAUUUGCCGGCGACCGGCGCACGGGUGAGUAACACGUAUCCAACCUGGCCCAUACUCGGGUAUAGCCUCUCGAAAGGGAGAUUAAUCCCCGAUGUUGUUGUUUCACCGCAUGGUGUACCAACCAAAGAAUUUCGGUAUGGGAUGGGGAUGCGUUCCAUUAGCUUGUUGGCGGGGUAACGGCCCACCAAGGCGACGAUGGAUAGGGGUUCUGAGAGGAAGGUCCCCCACACUGGAACUGAGACACGGUCCAGACUCCUACGGGAGGCAGCAGUGAGGAAUAUUGGUCAAUGGGCGAGAGCCUGAACCAGCCAAGUAGCGUGAAGGAUGACUGCCCUACGGGUUGUAAACUUCUUUUGUUGGGAAUAAAGUUCAGCACGUGUGCUGUUUUGUAUGUACCAUUCGAAUAAGCAUCGGCUAAUUCCGUGCCAGCAGCCGC